rnacentral:rRNA from 1 species
UACGUAGGGUGCGAGCGUUGUCCGGAAUUAUUGGGCGUAAAGGGCUCGUAGGCGGUUUGUCGCGUCGGGAGUGAAAUCCACUGGCUUAACUGGUGGCUUGCCUUCGAUACGGGCAGACUGGAGGUAUGCAGGGGAGAACGGAAUUCCUGGUGUAGCGGUGAAAUGCGCAGAUAUCAGGAGGAACACCGGUGGCGAAGGCGGUUCUCUGGGCAUGUCCUGACGCUGAGGAGCGAAAGUGUGGGGAGCGAACAGG